AGCGAACGCUGGCGGCAUGCCUAACACAUGCAAGUCGAACGAUCCCUUCGGGGAUAGUGGCGCACGGGUGCGUAACGCGUGGGAACCUGCCCUUAGGUUCGGAAUAACUCAGAGAAAUUUGAGCUAAUACCGGAUAAUGUCUUCGGACCAAAGAUUUAUCGCCUUUGGAUGGGCCCGCGUUGGAUUAGCUAGUUGGUGGGGUAAAGGCCUACCAAGGCGACGAUCCAUAGCGGGUCUGAGAGGAUGAUCAGCCACACUGGGACUGAGACACGGCCCAGACUCCUACGGGAGGCAGCAGUGGGGAAUAUUGGACAAUGGGCGAAAGCCUGAUCCAGCAAUGCCGCGUGAGUGAUGAAGGCCUUAGGGUUGUAAAGCUCUUUUACCCGGGAUGAUAAUGACAGUACCGGGAGAAUAAGCCCCGGCUAACUCCGUG
rnacentral:rRNA from 1 species